CUUUGUCCUCGCUGCCCUCACAAAUGUCCUUACUCUCCUCGAACCCUGCUCCGGCGACGACGGCAGGAUGGAGGCUCAGCGGCGCCGCCAUGGAUCGGGACUCCAGGAUGUACGCGGACGUGUCCCGGUGGUGCUGCCCGCCGAGUUUGUGCUGUAUCUCCGCACCGAGUACCACCAGUGGUCCAUGAGUCAAGUGCAUCUGGCUACUUUUUUCCUGGCCGCUCCUCACAGUGAGGAGGCUGCGAGUCCAUCGCUCACUGAGUGAGCUGCUGUUCUGGCAUGGUUCCACAAGAGGGAGCUGUUAUGCGUUAAUUCCUGCCGUCACACAGGAAGCUUUCCAAGCGACACGGCUAGCAUUCAUCGGCUAAUCAAGUCUUCAUGGAUAUCAACACCUCGGUGCCAGCUCGUGUCACCAGAUGGUUACUUCGCGUGCCUAUGGUAAACUCUCCCAAGACUCCACUCUCAGCCCUUGUGUGUAUUUCCCGGUCCGUGUUCUGGUGUCGGCAUCCUUGGUUCAUCGUAUCUGUUCGUCUGCGUAUAACUUCAUCGUUGUUUAUUAAAUUUUUAAGUUAACCUUGUCUCCCAGCCUUCAGUCAGCCAGCACACAUUGCUCCUGGGUCUGAUCACAUCGACAGCCGUGCCAAGGACAAGGGAACAAGUGAUACUACGAUGGAAGAUAGGACGAUAUCACUUUGCCAUUUGAAGAUUGUGUUGGGGCAGAAUGAAGCUGCUUCUCCUGUCUUUAUACAGUACAUAAUGUCUUAUAAUGUCCACGUCAGUUUUCAAAUUUCAUUACUCUUAUUAUGUAUAUACAAAUAUACAUCAAAACCCUGUAUGCUCAAAGGUAAUAAAACACUCGUGUUACCUCGUCUAGUGUGUCUCAGGAUGCACACAUAUAAAUGCAGAGGUUUGCGUAGGCACCAUGAAGGAAAAGGGAGUAAUGACAAACAGACAGCUGACAAUGGUCGACGACAUGUCUCUUCAUCAUGAUGUUUUUUCA